GACGAACGCUGGCGGCGUGCUUAACACAUGCCAGUCGAACGGUGAAGGGAUCAGCUUGCUGGUUCUGGAUGAGUGGCGAACGGGUGAGUAACACGUGAGUAACCUGCCCCCUUCUUCUGGAUAACCGCAUGAAAGUGUUGCUAAUACGGGAUAUUCUGCGCCUGCUGCAUGGUGGGUGUGGGAAAGAUAUUGUUUCGGUGGGGGAUGGGCUCGCGGCCUAUCAGCUUGUUGGUGGGGUGAUGGCCUACCAAGGCGGUGACGGGUAGCCGGCCUGAGAGGGUGGACGGUCACACUGGGACUGAGACACGGCCCAGACUCCUACGGGAGGCAGCAGUGGGGAAUAUUGCACAAUGGGCGCAAGCCUGAUGCAGCGACGCCGCGUGAGGGAUGGAGGCCUUCGGGGUGUGAACCUCUUUCGCCAGUGAAGCAGGCCUGUCCCUUGUGGGUGGGUUGACGGUAGCUGGAGAAGAAGCGCCGGCUGACUACGUG
rnacentral:rRNA from 1 species